rnacentral:rRNA from 1 species
UAACGCGUGGGUAACCUGCCCUAUACACAUGGAUAACAUACUGAAAAGUUUACUAAUACAUGAUAAUAUAUAUUUACGGCAUCGUAGAUAUAUCAAAGUGUUAGCGGUAUAGGAUGGACCCGCGUCUGAUUAGCUAGUUGGUGAGAUAACUGUCCACCAAGGCGACGAUCAGUAGCCGACCUGAGAGGGUGAUCGGCCACAUUGGAACUGAGACACGGUCCAAACUCCUACGGGAGGCAGCAGUC